UGGAAUCACAGCCAAUCAGCCUCUCAACAU
rnacentral:piRNA from 1 species